rnacentral:misc_RNA from 1 species
GAUGAAGAACGCAGCGAAAUGCGAUACGUAAUGUGAAUUGCAGAAUUCAGUGAAUCAUCGAAUCUUUGAACGCACAUUGCGCCGGCCAGUAGUCUGGCGGGCAUGCCUGUUCGAGCGUCAUUACAACCCUCAGGCCCCCGGGCCUGGCGUUGGGGAUCGGCGGAAGCCCCCUGCGGGCACAACGCCGUCCCCCAAAUACAGUGGCGGUCCCGCCGCAGCUUCCAUUGCGUAGUAGCUAACACCUCGCAACUGGAGAGCGGCGCGGCCACGCCGUAAAACACCCAACUUCUGAAUGUUGACCUCGAAUCAGGUAGGAAUACCCGCUGAACUUAAGCAUAUCAAUAAGCGGAGGA